rnacentral:rRNA from 1 species
AUUGAACGCUGGCGGCAGGCCUAACACAUGCAAGUCGAACGAGUGGCGGACGGGUGAGUAAUGUCUGGGAAACUGCGUGAUGGAGGGGGAUAACUACUGGAAACGGUAGCUAAUACAGCAUACAAUCAGAUGUGCCCAGAGGGGAUUAGCUUGAUGGGGGGGUAACGGCUCACCAGGGCGACGAUCCCUCGCUGGUCUGAGAGGAUGAAGCGCCACACUGGAAUUGAGACACGGUCCAGACGCCUACGGGAGGCAGCAGUGGGGAAUAUUGCACAAUGGGCGCAAGCCUGAUGCAGCCAUGCCGCGUGUAUGAAGAAGGCCUUCGGGUUGUAAAGUACUUUCAGCGGGGAGGCGUUACCCGCAGAAGAAGCACCGGCUAACUCCGUGCCAGCAGCCGCGGUAAUAC